AAUUUUGGACAUUGUGGGAAACCCUGAUCUAGCCAUGCCUCGAGUAUGAUGAAGGCCUUCGGUUUGUAAAGUACUUUUGGCAGAGAAGAAUAGGUAUCCCCUAAUCCGGGCACCUGCUGACGGUCUCUGCAGAAUAAGCACUGGCUAACUACGUGCCAGCAGCCGCGGUAAUACGUAGGUUGCAAGCUUUAAUCGGAAUUACUUGGCGUAAAGCGUGUGUAGGCGGUUCGGAAAGAAAGAUGUGAAAUCCCAGGGCUCAACCUUGGAACUGCAUUUUUAACUGCCGAGCUAGAGUAUGUCAGAGGGGGGUAGAAUUCCACGUGUAGCAGUGAAAUGCGUAGAUAUGUGGAGGAAUACCGAUGGCGAAGGCAGCCCCCUGGGAUAAUACUGACGCUCAGACACGAAAGCGUGGGGAGCAAACA
rnacentral:rRNA from 1 species